UACGUAGGGCGCGAGCGUUGUCCGGAAUUAUUGGGCGUAAAGAGCUCGUAGGCGGUGUGUCGCGUCGGCCGUGAAAACCUGCAGCUUAACUGUGGGCUUGCGGUCGAUACGGGCAUCACUGGAGUUCGGCAGGGGAGACUGGAAUUCCUGGUGUAGCGGUGAAAUGCGCAGAUAUCAGGAGGAACACCGGUGGCGAAGGCGGGUCUCUGGGCCGAUACUGACGCUGAGGAGCGAAAGCGCGGGGAGCGAACAGG
rnacentral:rRNA from 1 species